GCAUCAAUGGGGUAGUGGUGACCUGGGUCGUUGCCAAUUCUCUUGUAAUAUUCGACCCGCCGAGGGUUCAAUUCCCUCUUGAUGCA